UUUCAUGGCUACAAAAUGAGAUUAUGUUAGCGAUCUUACUAAUGAGGGUAUGUUGCCGUGUUAAUGUACAUGCUAGUGUGAAUAUGUGACUGUUAUGAGCUCCCACACAGUUCAUUAUAUGGCUACAAGAUGAGAUUAUGUUAGCGAUCUUACCAGUGAGGGGAUGUUGCCGUGUUUAUAUCCAUGCUAGUGUGAAUAUAUGACUUAUGAGCUCCCACACAGUUCAUUAUAUGGGUACAAGAUGAGAUUAUGUUAGCGAUCUUACCAGUGAGGGGAUGUUGCCGUGUUUAUAUCCAUGCUAGUGUGAAUAUGUGACUGUUUGUUUGUGUUACGAGCUACCACACAGUUUAUUACAUGGCUACAAGAUGAGGUUAUGUUAGUGAUCUUACCAAUGAGGGGAUGUUGCCGUGUUAAUGUCCAUGCUAGUGGGAAUAUGUGGCUGUUUAUUUUGUGUUACAAGCUCCUACACAGUACGUCAUAUGGCCACAAAAUGAGAUUAUGUUAGCGACCUUACCAGUGAGGGGAUGUUGCCGUGUUUAUGUCCAUGCUAGUGAGAAUAUAUGACUUAUGAGCUCCCACACAGUACGUUAUAUGGCUACAAGAUGAGAUUGUGUUACUGACCUUAUUGUUGAGGGGAUGCUACAGUGUUUAUGUCCAUGCUAGUGAGAAUGUGAAUGUGUUACGAGCUGCCACACCUUCCGUUACAUGGCUAUUAGUUUAUGUCACAUUACCGAUCCUACUAAUGAGGGAAUGUUACGAUGUUUAUAUAUGUUCAUGCCCGUGUGAAUGCGUAACUGUCUCUGUGUGUUACAAGCUACCACACAGUUUGUUACGUUGUGGUUACAAGCUUAUGUUAUGUUACUACUCUGUCCAUGGCAGUGUGGAUGUGACUUUUAACCUGUUAGCGGCGUCGGGCCAAAUUUGAGGCUUUACGGUGUACCAGCGACGGGCCAGAUUUGUGCCAUGAUAAAGACCCCCAAAAAUAGAUGAUGCAUAAAAUGAUCACAAAUGCGUUGAAACAUAUUAUGAAAUGGUUUGCGGAUUUUUUCUCAUUUUUCUCGCUUGGAGGGGCCAUUAAGAAACAUGGUCCCCGCAGCUACUGGGUUAAGAGCUCCCACACAGUUCGUUACAUGACUUCCUUCACCUCACUUCCCCAAGCUGGCGUUUAGGGUGCUAUUCUCAGACACUUCCGACGCCCAUAUGAACCACUUCCCACGGCCAAAACGGAGAUUCACCCACUUCUAAUGACUAUUGCUUUAGGUUCAUGGUACAGAGGAAAGGGUCAAACUACCACCAGGAUCAUAAAACUACCCUUGGAAGUGCCCCAAACUCUUACAAAGGCCAAAACAGAGAUUAACCCACUUCUAAUGACUAUUGGUUUAGGUUCAUGGUACAGAGGAAAGGGUCAAACUAUCACCAGGAUCAUAAAACUACCCUUGGAAGUGCCCCAAACUCUUACAAAGGCCAAAACAGAGAUUAACCCACAUCUAAUGACUAUUGUUUUAGGUUCAUGGUACAGAAGAAGGGUCAGACUACCACCAGGAUCAUAAAACUACCCCUGGAAAUGCCUGAAGCUCUUACAAAACCCUUGUCAAACUUUAAUAUGUGUUUUGAGUCUGGUUUGGUUGAUGUAUUGUUUUAGGUUCAUGGUACAGAGGAAAGGGUCACACUACCACCAGGAUCAUAAAACUACCCAUGGAAAUACCUCAAACUCCUACGAAACCUUUGUCAAACUUUAAUAUGUAUUUUGAGUCUGGUUUGGUUGAUACAUUAUGGUUAUAUUGGAUGCAGAAGUGUGUUAGAACAUGACCCUUAGUCCAUGCAGCCCCCAGGAGUCGGAUGUCAGGCCCCGGCACACUUCAUUAUUGUGAUCUGGGGCGGGGCUGUCCUGGGGCGGCCUCACAAAGGUGCUCACUCGUUCGUUACCUCGGGAGUCAAGGCGUUCUUCAGGUGUUCAGUCACUACGCUAAUCUGUAUGUAAGGUUCCAAUUUGUACUCACCAGGAAAAUAGUACUGUUGAAAAUAAGCUUGAUUGUAGGUUGUGGGCUCGAGUGUACAGAAAAUGAGGUCAGUAUUGUAUUAGGGAAAUUGAGCUACAGGGAAUCGACCUUGAAUUUAUUGAUAACUGAGCUUAGGUUAUGGGCUCUUGAGUAAACAGGAAAUGAGGUCAGUUUUGUAUAAAGGAAAUUGAGUUUGAGUGUAUAGAUAAUUGAGCUUAGGUUAUGGGCUCUUGAGUAAACAGGAAAUGAGGUCAGUUUUGUAUAAGGGAAUUGAGCUUGUACUACAGGGAAAAUUGAGCUUGAGUUUAUAGAUAAUUGAGUGUAGGAUUGAGCUUUUGAGUAUAUGGAAGAUGAGGUCAGUUGUGUAUAUGGGAAAUUGAGCUUGUACUACAGGG